CUCUCGGCAACGGAUAUCUCGGCUCUCGCAUCGAUGAAGAACGUAGCGAAAUGCGAUACCUGGUGUGAAUUGCAGAAUCCCGUGAACCACCGAGUCUUUGAACGCAAGUUGCGCCCGAGGCCAUCCGGCUAAGGGCACGCCUACCUGGGCAUCAC
rnacentral:rRNA from 1 species